AUGGACUCCGCGGAGAGGUCCAGGAAGAGGGCGCAGAGAUGGAGCAAGCGCAAAGCCGUCGUCAUCCACCUCGCCGUCUGCUUCGUCGUCGGCGCCUUGGCGCCACUGGCCGCCACCGGCGGCCCGUUCAUCGACGGCAUCCGCGCCUCGGUCCUUCCGUUUGGCGGUGUUCAGCGAGUGGCUCCGCCGUCGCCCCCUGCUGUCCCUGACAUCGGCCUCCUGCUGAUCGUCACCGUCACAAGGCCGGACGAGGACGGCAUGUCGCAGGAGGCGUCGGUGACGAGGCUCGGGCACACGCUGCGGCACGUCCCGCCACCCCUGGUAUGGAUCGUGGUUGGUGCCGAGAACAGGUCGGCGUCGACGGUCCAGGUGCUGCGCAGCACCGGCGUCAUGUUCCGGCAUCUCACAUACGCCACCAAUAUCACCACCGCCGUGAACAAUGCCACCAACAACAGCACCGUGGAAGCCAGCGCCAGCACCGCCGUGAACAACGCCACCAACAACAGCACCAUGGAAGCCAGCGCCACCACCGCCGUGAACAACGCCACCAACAACAGCACCGUGGAAGCCAGCGCCUCCACGGCCGUGAACAAUGCCACCACCAACAGCACCAUGGAAGCCAGCGCCAACAACACAACCACCGCCGCCGAGAAGAACGGCACCAACAACACCAUCGUCGAGAACACCACCGUGGAAGGCAGCGCCAGCAACACCACCACCGCCGCCGAGAAGAACGGCACCAACAACACCAUUGUUGAGAACAACACCGGGAAUGCCAGUGACGAAGCGGACCUGCAGAAGAACGUGGCGCUGAGCCACAUCGAGCGGCACCGGCUGGCCGGGGUCGUCCACUUCGCUGCCGCCUCUGCCAUAUACGACCUCGAGUUCUUUGAAGAGCUCAGGCAGACUCGGGGCGUUGCAGCAUGGCCAACCGCAACUGUGUCAUCAGCAGACCAGACAGUAACACUACAAGGACCAACCUGCAACUCAUCACAGAUAACAGGCUGGUACUCCAAGGACUCGAGCACCAAUGCAACAGCAACACAUACAGCAGAUGCGGUUGCUGCACAAGAUACAGGCGCCAUCCGCAACAGCUCCAGUUUACCUCCUGAAAUAGGCAUAUCUGGACUUGGGUUCAGGAGCUCCAUACUGUGGGAAUCAGAAUGGUUCGCCGACAGCAACAGCUCUUCAGGAGGCGGCUCUCAGGACUACAUCCAGCUUGUACGACGAAUGGCGGUCGGCGACGAGGACAUGCGGAAGGGCAUCCCUUCUGACUGCUCCAAGUCACGGAUAAUGAUGUGGCACCUUGACAUGCCAAAGUACACUCCAGAAGUUAAAGAACAGGAGACUCCGCGGGAGCAAAGUCUAUUGGAGGAAGACGAAGAGGACUAUAUGACUUGA
rnacentral:rRNA from 1 species